rnacentral:rRNA from 1 species
CACGUAGGGUGCGAGCGUUGUCCGGAAUUAUUGGGCGUAAAGAGCUCGUAGGCGGUGUGUCGCGUCGGCCGUGAAAACCUGCAGCUUAACUGUGGGCUUGCGGUCGGAUACGGGCAUCACUGGAGUUCGGCAGGGGAGACUGGAAUCCUGGUGUAGCGGUGAAAUGCGCAGAUAUCAGGAGGGAACACCGGUGGGCGAAGGCGG